rnacentral:rRNA from 1 species
CCUACGGGGUGCAGCAGUGAGGCAUAUUGGUCAAUGGACGAGAGUCUGAACCAGCCAAGUAGCGUGAAGGAUGACUGCCCUAUGGGUUGUAAACUUCUUUUAUAUGGGAAUAAAAUGUUCCACGUGUGGGAUUUUGUAUGUACCAUAUGAAUAAGGAUCGGCUAACUCCGUGCCAGCAGCCGCGGUAAUACGGAGGAUCCGAGCGUUAUCCGGAUUUAUUGGGUUUAAAGGGAGCGUAGGUGGAUUGUUAAGUCAGUUGUGAAAGUUUGCGGCUCAACCGUAAAAUUGCAGUUGAAACUGGCAGUCUUGAGUACAGUAGAGGUGGGCGGAAUUCGUGGUGUAGCGGUGAAAUGCUUAGAUAUCACGAAGAACUCCGAUUGCGAAGGCAGUUCACUGGACUGCAACUGACACUGAGGCUCGAAAGUGUGGGUAUCAAACAGGAUUAGAUACCCCUGUAGUC